rnacentral:rRNA from 1 species
CGUACACUCCUGCGGGAGGCAGCAGUGGGGAAUAUUGCACAAUGGGCGCAAGCCUGAUGCAGCCAUGCCGCGUGUAUGAAGAAGGCCUUCGGGUUGUAAAGUACUUUCAGCGGGGAGGAAGGCGAUAAGGUUAAUAACCUUGUCGAUUGACGUUACCCGCAGAAGAAGCACCGGCUAACUCCGUGCCAGCAGCCGCGGUAAUACGGAGGGUGCAAGCGUUAAUCGGAAUUACUGGGCGUAAAGCGCACGCAGGCGGUCUGUCAAGUCGGAUGUGAAAUCCCCGGGCUCAACCUGGGAACUGCAUUCGAAACUGGCAGGCUAGAGUCUUGUAGAGGGGGGUAGAAUUCCAGGUGUAGCGGUGAAAUGCGUAGAGAUCUGGAGGAAUACCGGUGGCGAAGGCGGCCCCCUGGACAAAGACUGACGCUCAGGUGCGAAAGCGUGGGGAGCAAACAGGAUUAGAUACCCCGGUAGUCCCA